rnacentral:lncRNA from 1 species
UUUAAGAGAAGGGGAGGAAAAUAAUCGAACUCUUAGCCAAGUAUACAAAUAAAGUAGUCUAUACUGUAUAACGAGUCCAAAUUUGAGGACAAAAGUAUGGUGUACAUGUAUAGCAUUUUUAAUAAGAGAGAGCAUGUCUCGUCCACUUGGACUGAACUUUCCAGGGUUGACAAGAGUUUGUAGCAAUUUUAUAUUAAAAUUACAUGACCCAUUUUGUGUAAUAUUAGUUUUCUUUUGUCUUACUCUUAUUUUGUGUGUUGUUUUCCACAGUACUACUAGAGAUACACCAACUUUUAAGUGUCAACUAAUAU